rnacentral:rRNA from 1 species
AUGAGUAUUAUAAGUUGCAACUACCGAGGGGCGGGGAGCUCUCGGACAGUUCGCGACCUUGUGAGCUUGGCACAAGCUCAUUCCCCUUCUAUCUUUUUUUGUGAAACUAGGCAGUCGAAGGAUAGGAUGAAGAGAUACCGCUCUCGUUUAGGUUUACAUGGUUUUGAAGCUGUCGAUAGUGAUGGUUUUAGUGGUGGUCUAGCUCUUUUUUGGCACAAAUCUGUGCAACUUGAUGUAAAAGAUUUGAAUAAACGAUAUAUUGAUGCGUAUGUGAGGACGGCGGCGGGGAGCCCCCUUGGAGGCUCACCUGCGUCUACGGUGAGCCGCGAAUGGAGGACCAUCACCACAUGUGGUUGCUCCUUCGUGAUCUUCAUCACCAGGUGGAUAUGCCUUGGGUGGUGA